ACUCAAAUGAAUUGACGGGGGCCCGCACAAGCGGUGGAGCAUGUGGUUUAAUUCGACGCAACGCGAAGAACCUUACCCAGGCUCGAAAUGCAGGGGACAGACGGCGAAAGUCGUUUUCCGCAAGGACUCCUGUAUAGGUGCUGCAUGGCUGUCGUCAGCUCGUGUCGUGAGAUGUUGGGUUAAGUCCCGCAACGAGCGCAACCCUUGUUCGCUGUUGCCAUCAGGUCAAGCUGGGCACUCUGCGAAGACUGCCGGUGAUAAACCGGAGGAAGGUGGGGAUGACGUCAAGUCAGCAUGGCCUUUAUGUCUGGGGCCACACACGUGCUACAAUGGCCGGUACAAAGCGUCGCAAGCCCGCGAGGGGGAGCUAAUCGCAUAAAGCCGGUCUCAGUUCGGAUUGUAGGCUGCAACUCGCCUGCAUGAAGUUGGAAUCGCUAGUAAUCGCAGAUCAGCAGGCUGCGGUGAAUACGUUCCCGGGCCUUGUACACACCGCCCGU
rnacentral:rRNA from 1 species